rnacentral:lncRNA from 1 species
GUCUACUAGGCUGCAAUUAAUGCUCUUAGAAGUCACGUAGUAAAAAAACCGACGUCUAUGGCCUGUACAGAAGGCGGGAAGACAAAAAUUUCUGCAAUUGAGACGUCGGUGUUUUCGAGCCCGACGUCUAUGUGCCUGUAAUUAAUUAUCUUCACCUGAUUCCCAGGCGUCCCUUCACAAAUGUCGUUAACAUCCCUGACAAGAAAUGGAACGUCAAUCGGUUCGACUUCCUAGACGUCGGCUCCCCCUUAAAUCGACGUCUAAUGGGCAUUCAAAAAGUCAGUUUAAAUGUUAAUUUGGUCAUCGAAUUAGUUAGAAAACCGACGUCUAGGUGACUACAGACGUCGGUUUCACAAGCAACCGACACUCCAUUUCAUUUUAAAUAAAUCGCAGAUUCUUCACGGCAUUCAGUUUCUGAUAUCGUCUUCCUCUCUUCUCCUUUUUCUCUUGUUUCUCUCUUGCGACAUUGCAUUAUUGUUUCUGAUAUCUUUAUCGUCUUCCUCCUCUUCUCUUUCUCUCUUCCGGCAUUGCAUCCCAGGUGGUUUUUUUUAUGCUUACCGUUUAAACUUUGUUUAGUCUUUCAUCGAUUAUCUUCUGGUUCAACUGAUUAAAAUUUGCUUUCUUUGCGUUGUGUUUUAGUGCAGUUUUGUUCCUUUCUUGGGGUAACGUAGUAACAC